UGGUUACUGCGAUGGAGGGACGGAGAAGGCUAGGCCAGCUUGGCGUUGGUUGUCCAAGUUUAAGGUGGUAGGCUGAAAUCUUAGGUAAAUCCGGGGUUUCAAGGCCGAGAGCUGAUGACGAGUCGUCUUUUAGAUGACGAAGUGGUUGAUGCCAUGCUUCCAAGAAAAGCUUCUAAGCUUCAGGUAACCAGGAACCGUACCCCAAACCGACACAGGUGGUCGGGUAGAGAAUACCAAGGCGCUUGAGAGAACUCGGGUGAAGGAACUAGGCAAAAUGGCACCGUAACUUCGGGAGAAGGUGCGCCGGCUAGGGUAAAGGAUUUACUCCGUAAGCUCUGGCUGGUCGAAGAUACCAGGCCGCUGCGACUGUUUAUUAAAAACACAGCACUCUGCAAACACGAAAGUGGACGUAUAGGGUGUGACGCCUGCCCGGUGCCGGAAGGUUAAUUGAUGGGGUUAGCGCAAGCGAAGCUCUUGAUCGAAGCCCCGGUAAACGGCGGCCGUAACAAUAACGGUCCUAAGGUAGCGGAAUUCCUUGUCGGGUAAGUUCCGACCUGCACGAAUGGCGUAACGAUGGCGGCGCUGUCUCCACCCGAGACUCAGUGAAAUUGAAUCGCUGUGAAGAUGCAGUGUAUCCGCGGCUAGACGGAAAGACCCCGUGAACCUUUACUGUAGCUUUGCACUGGACUUUGAGCCUGCUUGUGUAGGAUAGGUGGGAGGCUUUGAAGCGUGGACGCCAGUUCGCGUGGAGCCAUCCUUGAAAUACCACCCUGGCAUGCUUGAGGUUCUAACUCUGGUCCGUAAUCCGGAUCGAGGACAGUGUAUGGUGGGCAGUUUGACUGGGGCGGUCUCCUCCUAAAGAGUAACGGAGGAGUACGAAGGUGCGCUCAGACCGGUCGGAAAUCGGUCGCAGAGUAUAAAGGCAAAAGCGCGCUUGACUGCGAGACAGACACGUCGAGCAGGCACGAAAGUAGGUCUUAGUGAUCCGGUGGUUCUGUAUGGAAGGGCCAUCGCUCAACGGAUAGAAGGUACUCCGGGGAUAACAGGCUGAUACCGCCCAAGAGUUCAUAUCGACGGCGGUGUUUGGCACCUCGAUGUCGGCUCAUCACAUCCUGGGGCUGAAGCCGGUCCCAAGGGUAUGGUUGUUCGCCAUUUAAAGUGGUACGCGAGCUGGGUUUAGAACGUCGUGAGACAGUUCGGUCCCUAUCUGCCGUGGACGUUUGAGAUUUGAGAGGGGCUGCUCCUAGUACGAGAGGACCGGAGUGGACGAACCUCUGGUGUUCCGGUUGUCACGCCAGUGGCAUUGCCGGGUAGCUAUGUUCGGAAAAGAUAACCGCUGAAAGCAUCUAAGCGGGAAACUUGCCUCAAGAUGAGAUCUCACUGGGAACUUGAUUCCCCUGAAGGGCCGUCGAAGACUACGACGUUGAUAGGCUGGGUGUGUAAGCGUUGUGAGGCGUUGAGCUAACCAGUACUAAUUGCCCGUGAGGCUUGACCG
rnacentral:rRNA from 1 species